CCUACGGGAGGCAGCAGUGGGGAAUAUUGCACAAUGGGCGAAAGCCUGAUGCAGCGACGCCGCGUGAGGGAUGACGGCCUUCGGGUUGUAAACCUCUUUCAGCAGGGAAGAAGCGAAAGUGACGGUACCUGCAGAAGAAGCGCCGGCUAACUACGUGCCGGCAGCCGCGGUAAUACGUAGGGCGCAAGCGUUGUCCGGAAUUAUUGGGCGUAAAGAGCUCGUAGGCGGCUUGUCACGUCGGAUGUGAAAGCCCGGGGCUUAACCCCGGGUCUGCAUUCGAUACGGGCUAGCUAGAGUGUGGUAGGGGAGAUCGGAAUUCCUGGUGUAGCGGUGAAAUGCGCAGAUAUCAGGAGGAACACCGGUGGCGAAGGCGGAUCUCUGGGCCAUUACUGACGCUGAGGAGCGAAAGCGUGGGGAGCGAACAGGAUUAGAUACCCUGGUAGUCCACGCCGUAAACGUUGGGAACUAGGUGUUGGCGACAUUCCACGUCGUCGGUGCGCAGCUACGCAUUACGUUACCCGUCCGUCGGGUAGGUACGACCGCCGACGGACGUAAACCGUACAAACGGAAGUUAGACGGCGUGAGACGUGCCGAACGGACGACCGACCGAGGGAGGUAGG
rnacentral:rRNA from 1 species